UUGGCCUCUCUCGGUUAUUCAGAACUCAACAUGACCUGCGCCCCGGGUGGCAACGGGCGUGGGUUUGAACCCAACAGGGAGUUGAACCUCUGCAGGGCUGUGUAAACCUGAGCAAGAUGCUCGGAGGCCCUGGAAAGCCACUUGUGCGGUGGAGAUGAGGGGAUGUGGCGCUGUGCGGGCGCGGGUGGGGUAGGGCUGCCCUGGAGAUGAGAACGACCUAGGUGCCCUGGGAAUCGGCCACUCUGGUUUUCCUCGGUGUGGGGCUCACGCCGCAACACAAUUCAGGGGAUGGAAAGCUGCCCAAAAGGUUUCCCUGACCGGGAGUCGAACCCGAGCCGGUCGCGGCGGUGAAAGCGCCGAAUCCUAGCCACGGGACCACCAGGGAGCUGCUGGUGGAUGGCUUUUCUCGUGCUGCUGACUACAGUGACCUUUUCCCUUUGCUCUGGAAGGCCUUGAGCCUUCCGGAGGGGUCAUCCGUCGUUGCAGAAAUCGUUCCCUAAGGCCGUUCCCUCCGUGCUUCCUCCAAAAAAGGAGCCCGAACGCCCGCGGGGCCUGCCGGGUCCGCAAGUCCCGAGCGAGUUGCCUCAUCCCGGCCGCACCUCGCCUUGAGAACUAGCCUUGUGACGCGUCUUUGUGAGGUGGCCGCGUGUGGAGAGAAGGACUCAGGCGGAUGCAGCAACGGAGACGGCUUGGAUGGAAAACCCUUUUCAGCCAGGCUCCAAGGCGCUAAAUUGGAUUCCGGAUCGAAAGCCGAGCAAUCCCCGGAUGGGCUUUGUCGGUUAACCCAUCCCAUCGUGUCCCCAGCUCUCCGUAAAGAAAAACUUCAGUCUCCUGAGCCUUCCCUGAGUUGCAAAAAGUCUGACCCAAGAAUUAAUGAUUAAAGGAAUGAAAACAUGCAGAAACAAAGAACAGCAGUCGGGCAGGAGAACUGUUGUUUUUACAGAACCCAGAUUCCCCACCAGAUGGAAACUGCUGACCACAAGCACAUAGACCCCAGACCAGUUAGAGCCAGAAGAUUGAUGAUGUUGAUUCCUGAAACUUCACCUUGUUACCUCACCAUCAACCAGCCAGAGAACUGUGUGUAAGCUGAUCACGCACCCUGAGACCCUCUCCCUCACACUGCCUUUAAAUACACUGUCCUGAAAGCCAUCCAGGAUUUUGGGUCUUUUGAGCUUUAGCUGCCCGUUCUCCUUGCUCGGGCACCCUGCAAUAAACGCUGUACUUUCCU